UCACUAUUAGCUCAGUUGGUAGAGCGUGCGACUGUUAAUCGCAAGGUCAGCGGUUCGAUCCCGCUAUAGUGAG